rnacentral:rRNA from 1 species
CGUGAGCAAUCUGCCUUGGAGUGGGGAAUAACGGUUGGAAACAGCCGCUAAUACCGCAUGAUACAGCUAUCCCGCAUGGGGUUGGCUGUCAAAGAUUUAUCGCUCUGAGAUGAGCUCGCGUCUGAUUAGCUUGUUGGCGGGGUAACGGCCCACCAAGGCGACGAUCAGUAGCCGGACUGAGAGGUUGGCCGGCCACAUUGGGACUGAGACACGGCCCAGACGCCUACGGAAGGCAGCAG